GAUCCGCAAGAAGCCGCUGCCGGCGGCGUGUAAAUAUCCGAGUUUGGGCCGAAAUCACCUCGGGGCCGCGGUGGCAGAGCAGGAAGGUGACACAGAGCUGUGGGGAGCGGUUCGGCCGAGCGCCGGGGCAGCAGAGGAAUGAUUUUCAAAAGGAAUCCAUGCAGUGAAUGUGAUGAAUCGCCAAUCUGCCUGAUGCUACUACCCCAACUCUGUCCUUCAUCGGAUUAAGUUCUCUUCUUACUUCACUGAGCAGCAGGAGAAAGGGAAAGAAGUACAAUCUUGUGGAUUUAGUCACUGUGGAAGAAAACCCUCAGCUAUACAAAUGCUGCUGCUUAGAAAAGGAAAAAAUGAAAAUGCCGAAGUAGGGGUGAUGUGGAUUUCAUACAUUGCUAGAACAACAAUUUUUGGGGAACUAAACCUUCUCCUCCCAAUACUUACUUUAGAAAAGCACAUCAAAGGGUAAACAGCUUUGAAGUAUCAGAAAACACAUAUAUUGACUUACCUAUAAGACAUUUCAGUACAAACAUUGCUUUGUAUUCUGCAUUCUUCUCAUGAAACCUGCUAAAGGAAAGUCAGAAGGAGUUUUAUAAUAAUCUCCUAUAGCAAUGGGAAGUUAGCUGAGAAUGGGUUAAAAUCAUCUCUUAAGCCACUGUUG